AUAUUGUAUGUUGAGUGCAGGUGAGAAGCUGCGUUCAGGUUCGAGCCGAGCGAAGCGAGACAGCGUUGCGCUUGUCGCAACGACCCGAAGGGCGAGGGUAAAGCCCGAGUAAUCCUGCACGACCCACCA
rnacentral:sRNA from 1 species